rnacentral:rRNA from 1 species
GACGAACGCUGGCGGCGUGCUUAACACAUGCAAGUCGAACGGAAAGGCCCUGCUUGCAGGGUACUCGAGUGGCGAACGGGUGAGUAACACGUGGGUGAUCUGCCCUGCACUUCGGGAUAAGCCUGGGAAACUGGGUCUAAUACCGGAUAGGAGCCAUUUUUCGUGUGAUGGUUGGAAAGUUUUUUCGGUGUAGGAUGAGCUCGCGGCCUAUCAGCUUGUUGGUGGGGUAAUGGCCUACCAAGGCGGCGACGGGUAGCCGGCCUGAGAGGGUGGACGGCCACAUUGGGACUGGGAUACGGACCAGACUCCUACGGGAGGCAGCAGUGGGGAAUAUUGCACAAUGGGCGCAAGCCUGAUGCAGCGACGCCGCGUGGGGGAUGACGGCCUUCGGGUUGUAAACUCCUUUCGCUAGGGACGAAGCUUUUUGUGACGGUACCUAGAUAAGAAGCACCGGCUAACUACGUG